CCCUUUAUCUCCAUCUCAAUCUUCUUCCCAUCUUCUUCAUAUUAUUCUCUCUAACAAAUCACCAACACUACUAUCACUCUGUCUCUCCCUUUCUCUUCCAUCCCUUACCUUCCCAAAAUCUUGCUCCACUCCAGCAGGUGAACAUCCAACAGUGCCCAGAAGAUCACGUGGCAGUGCAACCCAACGAAUUUGGCACAAAACUCGUCUCCUGUAGAUCUAAUUGUCCAAACGAACGACGACGAUAGACCCGAUGGCGUGCAAAACCCAUGAUGUGAAGACCCAGUCACUGCGUUCCUCUCUACGGUGGUUUGAUGCAACAGUAGCGAGUAGUGGUGGCAUGAGCUCCUCCGAUGACUGUUCAGCGAGCAGGUGCGAGUAGAUCCGACACAUUCAAAUCCACGAUGAGAAGAAUCGAUAGUAAGUGAGUCAGAUUACAAGGAACUGUAGCAGAGUUCUUUAUUGAUCAUAAGUCUCGGAGAAUUACAAGAUGCGAAACUGAGAAAUACAAGCUGGGUAUUUGUUCAAUUAUCAAAAUUCCGCACCUUUGAACAAAUAGCACUCAUGGUCGCUGAACUCUUGGGUUUAAUCAUCUGGAAAGUUCACGAUGCUACUCCUCUAACAUGGCAGUUGCCAUUGGAAGGUUGGUGGUCGUAGCUCGUCAACUUCCACAUGCUUUCAAUAGAGAUUAAAUUAGGAUUACAACUUACUAGCAAGUGAAGAAGCAAGCUUCGCACUAGAAUGAGAAGUUGUAAGGGUUUUUUAUUUUGUCGGACCACAUCCAGGUGAGCUUAAGCAUGUUGUGGUCAUUUCCAUCAAAGUUCUAUUAUAACAAAGGUCUUUCAUGACCCCAAAGUAGUCGACAAUUAAGAAUGCAACUAAUUGAUGGAUGAGCUUCCUUGUUGGGAUUGAGUUCUUUGCGUCUCUCACUAGUUACUCAUUCAUUCGAACUGGUUGCACUUUGACACAGAAGCCUUAUGUGGACGAUACGACUCCAGGUAAGAAAAAAUCCAAUCCUCUAUGUAGUUGUCGAGAUAGGACGAUUGAUCUACAUCUUUGUCCAUAGCCCUGGAGCAGUGUCUCGAUCUCCUACGUGUGAAAUCAGAGGGACUAGUUCCUAUGGAGAUUUCGAUUGGUCUAAUUCCACGUCAUAUGACGAAAGGGGAGUCGGUGUGGCAGGUUUCAACUAAGAAGAACUGAACCUGAAGGGGAGCCACAUAAAAAGAGAUUCUAAACAAAUGUGAGCUGCAGUCGAACUUGUUGCAAGAAAAGGUAGUUGAAUGUGUUAGGCGAAGAGAAUAUAGUACGUAGAAGCAACUAGAGUCGGCAGUUCGACGACUUAAUGCUUGCCAGAGAUAGUUCUAUAGCCCUUAGGAUAAAGACAUGAGCAUAGGUUUUCAGAGGAGCCUAAAGGCAGAGGUUUCACGAUCCAAUCUCUCACAUGAAGAAAGAUAGCCUAGCUCUAGAAAAAAGAUACAUCAUUUAAGUGCUUCAUCCAAAUUUUGCAGCUUGUGAUUGAUCUUGUUCCUAUUAUUCCAAAUCGUCCAACACAACAUAGCUGCAAUACUCGACUCCUCACUGUCAGGGCGAUCAAGUAGCGGCUCCCAAACCGAAUCAAAUGUUCGAGGGCAUUCUUUCUCAAGCUAGAAGGAGGGGACACAUCUACGCCAGAUUCACUGAGCUCUCUAGCAUUCUACAAGGAUAUGUACCACCAUCUCUUCACUUAAAUGACAUCAACAAGCAGGAAUUGCACCUGGGACAAUUUUGGACACCAACUUUGGCAAAACGUGCGUUUUGAUUUAUGAGGGGCAAGGAUGACAUUUCAUAUGUGUUGAAUCAAGUUGUAACCGUGAGUCUAAGUCAAAUCAGAGUGGUUAGGUGUAUCUCAACUCAUUUCCACCUAAAAAGGUGGGAAGUUCAACAACUCCAAGGGCCUAUAUAAGAAAGUCAUCCCUUCAGCAGCAAAUCAUCCAUUCCAAGCUCGUUUUCGGCUUCAUUUGCUUUCUCCUUUGUUGUAGAACUCGUUCUUAGGCUUUAGGUUCAAGUUUUAGAACUCGUUCUAGCUUACCGUAUUACUUUUAAUUCAAGUUCUAUCUUUUAUUCUGCAUUUAUUUUGUUCUUCUUAAGUUCUUUAGCAAG